rnacentral:rRNA from 1 species
GGAUUAGAUACCCUGGUAGUCCUAGCUGUAAACGAUGGAUACUAGACGUAGGAACUGGAUUGACGGUUUCUGUGUCGCAGCUAACGCGUUAAGUAUCCCGCCUGGGGAGUACGGUCGCAAGACUAAAACUCAAAUGAAUUGACGGGGACCCGCACAAGUAGUGGAGCAUGUGGUUUAAUUCGAAGAUACGCGCAGAACCUUACCAACACUUGACAUGUUCGUCGCGACUUUAAGAGAUUAAAGUUUUCGGUUCGGCCGGACGAAACACAGGUGCUGCAUGGCUGUCGUCAGCUCGUGUCG